GAGAGAGAGAGAGAGAGAGAGAGAGAGAGAGUGAAUGUGAGAAUGAGAGAGAGAGAGGAGAGAGAGAGAGAGAGAGAGAGAGAGAAUGAGGAAGUGACGCUUUUCAGUAAGGUGUAUAUCACCUGUGUGUGACACACACACACACACUUUCAAACACUCUCACUCAGACAGGAGACGGCACUGAGCCUCAUAUUCAACCACACUGACAUGCAGGACACACACAUGGAACAGGAGCUCUGCUUGUGAUCUAAGAAAAAGGUCAAGAGGUCAAGAGGGACAUCAUCAGCAGUUGGACGAACGUUUCAGCGAGAACACACUUCUUUAGAAUCAGGAUCAUGGCAGCCAUCUACGUCAACCUACAGGCGUGGGAAGCGGCAAACCUCCCGGGGAUGGCGCUCCUCUCCGCGGUCAUCCUCAUCGUCCUGGCCAUCACGCUCCUCGCUCUCUGUACCAGCUGCCAGAGGCAGUCGUUUUCUCUGGAUAACAGCGUUACAGCGGACAGAAACACACCCACAGUGGUUCAAGUUGUGAAGCCGGGAAACGCCGCAGAGAACCCCACUCCAGGAAGGACAGAUCUCACUGUGCUGCCCGAGGACUUACAGCUCGGUCCCAGUCAACAGUUCAAAGCCUGGAGGAGUCACACACUAGAACGCAGCCCACAGACGGCGGCGAACGGUGUCAUGGUGGCUCUGUAGGGUGUAUGACGAUGAGUAUGAACAGCAUCAUCCUGCUCAGGAUUUAACCAAAUUUUUCAUGGAAUUGAGUCUCGAACUCUGUCUACGCACACUGAAAAUGCUUACCAUAAAAAAAAAUUUUUUUAAAAAGACAAAACCUCUCAAAAAAGAUGCUAAUAACACCACCCACACCUUGCUGUUUCCAUACCAUGACUUUAGCACAUCUACGAAACUGUUGGAAGAAAGAAAGUUGCAGAAAUCUUCACGGGUGGAGCUCCGUCUUUUACAUCAUGACUCACUGUGCAAUAAGCCAAAGCUUCUGGCUAGCAGAGGAACCGGAUGAUUGAUCUUGGUGGUAUUGAUAUUAACAUCACAAGCGUGAGUAAGAGUAUCUAGCACACCAUAAGAGUCAGAGGAACCUGCUCUACCUUCGCCAGGAAGAACAUAGAGAACUGAAACGUUCAAGCCUACUCUUAAAGAACCAUCACCGUACAGUCUUACAAAAAAAAAAACUGGGUCCUCAAGCGUUCUAGAUUUCUGAAGGGGUUCGACAAGAAACCAUAUAUUAGCGGUUCCUCAGGAGGAGACAAACCCUUUAUGGUGCCCACUGCAAAGGUUUUAGACUGGGAUAGGAACUUUCUGAGUGAGCUUUAUCUCCACAGUUACAAUCAAUUUCAUGGAACUGCACUGAUCAAUGUUUCAUUUCUAAAACAAUAACAUGUUUAAAGUAAUAUCUAAACCAGCUAUCUCUACGGGGUGUAGGUCAAUUUAUCUUGCAAACAUAUGAUGUUUUAAAUAUUAUAAAAGUGGACGCGGAUUUAUAAUUUUACCUUCGGUGUUGGGGAAUCUGAAAUUUCUGAAAAGAAAAAAUUUGAAAAUUCAAAGCACUAAAAGCGAAGUAUUUCUAGAUUUAUCCCAUAUUAUUAUUAUUACUGAACUAGAAGCGAUUAACAACUAACUGUGAAAAUUAAAGAGUAGCUUUUGGUAAAGCUACUCAGUCAAUUAUUUCCCAGAAUUUCCCUAAAAUUCUAAAAUCAUGAAAGACACAUUCCAGCUCACACUACAGUCUGUCUGUAUAAACGGUUCGCACUGGGCCUCGUUUAUCAAUCCUGUUGCGAGUCUCUUUUUUUUCCCCCUUUUUUCCCCCCCAUACACCAAACCGAACAAAAAAAUUCCCACCAGAUGUACAAACGUUUCCCUGAUUUUCUUCAUAAAACUCUCAUCUCUUCAUCAAACUCUUCAUAAAACAUGCGUACAUUGAUGAAUGGCUGCAAAGUGCUGAUUUACAUUUAGCCAUGUGCACAAAACACCAUAGAGACAAAGCGCACAGAGAGCUAAAAAUGACAAAAUGGCAACCGGACGCUAAAUAUUCCAGUAAUGCUGCUCAGCCACCGUGGCGCAUAUCUCUCUAGACACACGCCAACUCUUCCUCCUCUUAUAGGACGCCAUUACUUGUGUCCUAAUUGAACAGCAAGUCUUAUGUAAAUUUAUAGCUUCGACUUUCACGAAACGUUUAUUAAACCGGUGUGUAAUUGACACGAAUAAGCGAUUUAAACUCGAAUCGGUUUAUAAAAUCGCAGUAACUCAUCAUUAAUUAUACGACUCGAAGCCGAUCAAUCGAGGUACAGUUUACCGAGUGUCCUUAUUUACACAAACUCGAGAGCUAAACUAACUGGAUUUUCAUGAAUACCACAUUUACUUGUGUAAAUACUCUGCAAACGAUUGACAGAAAACCUAUUUGUUUUCCAGCGUGAUAAACGAGGCCCACGCCAAGCCAUCACCAGUUAAUCAGUAAUCACCUGCGGUAGAGCUUCGCGAAUAGGACGUGAACCGUAACACAACCAAGGAUGUCGUGUGUGUCUGUGUGACUGAAAACAUGCAAAAACCUAGUCAACUCCUUGUAACCUCUUUUCUUUUUAAACUAUUUUAUACGCAUGUAUGCAACACACAAUGGCAUGAAAAUAAACGAGAGAAAAUGUAUCUGUGGCGGGGUUUUUUUUCUUCCAUUCUCAUACUUUUCCUCACUAUUAAGAGGGACUUUAGUCUCUGUCGUGUCUCAAGAUAAAAUUGUCAACUAGAUGCCCAAUGAAAUCAGGAUAAGCAGGUUUCUCUACCUACCUGUCAAUCAUGUUACUCCAGAAAACUCUCACUUAUACUAUAGCCUUCAGGUGUUACAGGCUAGUCGUGCAGGUUGGGUAUUACUGAGCUUCAGGUGAGGUCUGAUAAAACAGCCAACAGUACUGUUAAGCCUAAUAAUCUUAACACUUGUAAUAACAGUUCUCUAUCAGGUAAAGUAAGAGUAGCUUAUUUACCCUUUAAGACAUUUUGCCUAAAGUGUUACAGCAGAAAUUAAAUCAAAUCAAGUUUUCUUUCACUAACACCUUGUUCUGAAAUAAUCUGGAGAGAGCCGUUGAGUUUUUUUGACACACAAAAAAACUAUUUAAAUGUAAUAAUAAUA
ensembl:lncRNA